rnacentral:rRNA from 1 species
GGGAUGAGCUUGCGUCCGAUUAGCUAGUUGGCGGGCAACGGCCCACCAAGGCGACGAUCGGUAGCCGGCCUGAGAGGGCGAUCGGCCACAUUGGGACUGAGAUACGGCCCAGACUCUACGGGAGGCAGCAGUAGGGAAUAUUGCACAAUGGGGGGAACCCUGAUGCAGCAACGCCACGUGUGGGAAGAAGCAUUUCGGUGUGUAAACCACUGUCGUGAGGGUAAUAAUGCUCGGUUUCGGCCGAGUUGAAUGUACCUCGAAAGGAAGCACCGGCAAACUUCGUGCCAGCAGCCGCGGUAAUACGAGGGGUGCAAGCGUUGUUCGGAAUCACUGGGCGUAAAGGGAGCGUAGGCGGAGACGCAAGCAGUCUGUACAAUACCGGGGCCCAACCCCGGACCUGCAGACUGGACUGUGUCUCUUGGAUAGUUCAGGGGCAGGCGGAAUUCCUGGUGUAGCGGUGGAAUGCGUAGAGAUCAGGAAGAACACCGAUGGCGAAGGCAGCCUGCUGGGGACUCAUCGACGCUGAGGCUCGAAAGUGCGGGUAGCAAACAGGAUUAGAUACCCUGGUAGUCC